GCCUUGCCCAUAGCCAAGGGGCUAUGGUGAUGGCUACUUAGGGAUAGAGUCCAUCUUCUCUAACGGUGUAGCUGGCUAGCAGUGGAUAGUGGUUAAAGCUGACUUUGUUCCAGUGGAUAGUCCCUCACCCAUGAUUACUUGAGCAGCACAAACUGAACUCACUGGGUUAUGAAAACAUAAAAAGACAUGAAGUUGGGAGAGGAUUUGAAGAGAAUGAUGAGCUAAAUUUUCAUCCUUGAUCAUCUUGGAAAGAACAUUAAAUUCUCCAUAAGGUCAAGACCAAGGCCCACCAACUCACUAUCUGAUAAGGAAACUGAGUGCAGAGAUAAUACAAACAGCCCAAGGGAAAACGCUGACAAGUGGCAGAGACAGGAUCCAACCUCAGAAUCUCUGCACAGCGAAACUGGCACUCUCCGGCAAAGGUCUUGAACCUGUGUAUACAGAGAAUUAGUU
rnacentral:lncRNA from 1 species